AGAAUACACUGAUUUACAUAGAGUACACAGCAUUUUCACAUUGAAAACAAAAGUGUUGAUGUUACAAUGUUUAAAUAAGCUUUUUGUUACAUUUUUGUAAAUGCUAUAUAACUGUGUGCGUUUGUUAUUAUUCUAAAACAAUUCCCUUGAGCAUAGUAAAUAUUGGCUCCAGCUCAAAACUCUGGGCGUUGGCCCGGCAUUGGCGUGUAUUUUAGGCGUUUGUGACAGAAUUGGCACAUAUUCAAGACUCGCUAUGAAUUUUUAAUUGCUGUAAUGACUAGUUCCACAAAAGUGGCAGUAAGCAACGUCAGUAGGCCGCAAUUGCUUACAAAGGGUUCCAAAAUGGAAUUGUAUUGAGAAUUUUUGAGUAUAAAAUACCUGGGACUCGACGGUGGUGUCAUCAGUUGCACUAGAACAACUUAAAGCAGUUCAUCCUUAGCGCAUACAACAAUUAAUAAUAUCACAAUGUUCAAAUUUCUCGCCAUUUGUUUGUUCGCCAUGAUCGCUUACGUUGCUGCCAAGCCGGCUGUGAUUGCCGCACCAGUGGCCUACACUGCCGCCUAUUCCGCUCCAGUAGUGGCCGCCUCUCCCUAUACCGCUGCUUACACGGCCGCUUACACUUCGCCCUAUGCCGCCGCCUACUCCUAUCCCUAUGCUGCAUACAGUUAUCCUUAUUCAACCGCUUUCCUUCGGUAAGCCACUUCUCGACAGCGGCAAUAAUUGACGAAUUUUCCGGACACAUGAUUACUGAUAUGAAUAUUAUUUCUUGACUUAUUUGCUUGCAGAAAUAAGUACAUAUGCAUAUGUAAUGUUAUUUUGUUGAAUUUAUACUAUCAUAUUCUCUACUUUUUCCGAUUUUGCAUUGUAUAGAGCUGACACUUUGUUUUCAACUUUGAAAUUUAUUGUUGUGUACUUUUCCCUUUCGCCUCUUUUCUAUGGCAUCACAUAAAAUAAUAUGCAGAAGAAAAAACUAAAAAAAAACUUUUAAAUAAAAUAAAAUGUCACAAUUAUAAAGAGUGUUUUUCUAAAUUGUUAAAUAAGAAACAUGAUUCAUCAUGUGGUAUGUUAAGUUUGCCGGAAGAAGACGUCGAAAGCGUUAGAGUAUAUGCAAACUAGUCCAUCACUAUUUGAGAUAGCUGCUCAUUUGUCGGAAUCGCUGAUAGCGAACCUCUAUAACAUAUUGCCAAACAAACUAACCACCGAUCAAAGUCAACUUAAAGAUCUUUUAUACACUUGUAUACUUAUAAGAAAUGCAUCUGUGAAAGGUGAAUGCGUUUUUUCUUGUUUCCUAAAAUAUUAAAUUUUACGUUUUAUAGCAGUUAACAGAAUAUAAUGUUAUUUAUUAACAAUUUUUAUUAGCAAC